rnacentral:rRNA from 1 species
GUGCCAGCCGCCGCGGUAAUACGAAGGGGGCUAGCGUUGCUCGGAAUGACUGGGCGUAAAGGGCGCGUAGGCGGUUCGUACAGUCAGACGUGAAAUUCCCGGGCUCAACCUGGGGGCUGCGUUUGAUACGUACGGGCUUGAGUUCGGAAGAGGGUCGUGGAAUUCCCAGUGUAGAGGUGAAAUUCGUAGAUAUUGGGAAGAACACCGGUGGCGAAGGCGGCGACCUGGUCCGAUACUGACGCUGAGGCGCGAAAGCGUGGGGAGCAAACAGGAUUAGAAACCCGCGUAGUCC